rnacentral:rRNA from 1 species
GACGAACGCUGGCGGCGCGCCUAACACAUGCAAGUCGAACGAGCGAGAGAGAGCUUGCUUUCUCGAGCGAGUGGCGAACGGGUGAGUAACGCGCGAGGAACCUGCCUCAAAGAGGGGGACAACAGUUGGAAACGACUGCUAAUACCGCAUAAGCCCACGACCCGGCAUCGGGUAGAGGGAAAAGGAGCAAUCCGCUUUGAGAUGGCCUCGCGUCCGAUUAGCUAGUUGGUGAGGUAACGGCCCACCAAGGCGACGAUCGGUAGCCGGACUGAGAGGUUGAACGGCCACAUUGGGACUGAGACACGGCCCAGACUCCUACGGGAGGCAGCAGUGGGGAAUAUUGCACAAUGGGGGAAACCCUGAUGCAGCGACGCCGCGUGGAGGAAGAAGGUCUUCGGAUUGUAAACUCCUGUUGUUGAGGAAGAUAAUGACGGUACUCAACAAGGAAGUGACGGCUAACUACGUG